UACGUAGGGGGCUAGCGUUGUCCGGAAUCAUUGGGCGUAAAGCGCGUGUAGGCGGCCCGGUAAGUCCGCUGUGAAAGUCGGGGGCUCAACCCUCGAAUGCCGGUGGAUACUGUCGGGCUAGAGUACGAAAGAGGGUCGCGGAAUUCCCGGUGUAGAGGUGAAAUUCGUAGAUAUCGGGAGGAACACCGGUGGCGAAGGCGGCGACCUGGGUCGAGACUGACGCUGAGGCGCGAAAGCGUGGGGAGCAAACAGG
rnacentral:rRNA from 1 species